UGUUUCCCAUCUUACACUUUUUCAGAAUAGAUAUUCCCAUGGUAGAAUCAUGGGCUGACACUAUCACAUUAUAAAAUUUUCUCUGGUUCUGUCUCUUCCCCUCAGGAACACACAUGGAUGAUUCUUAUUACUUUAUGCCCACAUUAAAUAAUUGUAUACACCAUGAACUGGAGGCCUUGUGUUUUGAGUGAAAAGCUUUGGAUUUGAGUUUGUGUUUCCAAACACACUUCUGAGGUAGAAAUUGUCAAGAGCUUUCCCAAACUCUUUUUUUAAUCCUCCUGAGCUCACCAUCUCUGGGACUGUCUUGCAAUUGGACAGCCAUGCAAUUGAGCUUCAGCCAAUGAAACAUGAGUGGAGGGCGUGACACACAACCUGCCAUGUUCAAGCCUCCAUACUCUUUCCCUCCUCCAGCUUUGUGCUGAUGAACAUGGUCACCUUGAAAGGUGUGUUGAAUAUGGCAGAGCCAGAAAAUGCAAGGAGCUUCUUCUCUGGAUCACCACUUGAAGAAGAGCCACUUGCUCCUCAGGAACCCUAUUUUGGACUGACGUUGCAAGAAAGCUCAAGUAGCCUAUGGAGAGGAUGCAAGGCUUCCAGCUGAUGCCCUCAGCCAGGCUCAGUAGCAGCCAGAACUAGCCUACCAACGAACCUGCUGAUCAUGUGCAUAAGCCACCUUGAACGUCGAUCCUCCUGCCUGGUGGAGCCAUCCCAGCUGAUGCCACAUGAAGCAGACACAAGCUGUCCCUACUAAGCUCUGCUCAAGUUGGAUAUUCAUGAGUGAAAUAAAUGACUGUUACUAAGU
rnacentral:lncRNA from 1 species